rnacentral:rRNA from 1 species
CAGUAGCCGCGGUAAAACGUAGGGUGCGAGCGUUAAUCGGAAUUACUGGGCGUAAAGCGUGCGCAGGCGGUUUUGUAAGACAGGCGUGAAAUCCCCGGGCUCAACCUGGGAAUGGCGCUUGUGACUGCAAAGCUAGAGUGCGGCAGAGGGGGAUGGAAUUCCGCGUGUAGCAGUGAAAUGCGUAGAUAUGCGGAGGAACACCGAUGGCGAAGGCAGCCCCCUGGGCCAAUACUGACGCUCAUGCACGAAAGCGUGGGAAGCAAACAGGAUUAGAUACCCGCGUAGUCCCUGUCUCUUAUAC